rnacentral:rRNA from 1 species
CUGAGACUAUAAGUCUCCUGAAGGAACGUUAAAGACGAUGACGUUGAUAGGCCGGGUGUGUAAGCGCAGCGAUGCGUUGAGCUAACCGGUACUAAUGAACCGUGAGGCUUAACCUUACAACGCCGAAG